rnacentral:rRNA from 1 species
UGUGUAGGCGGUUUGGUAAGUUAGAAGUGUAAUACCCAGGGCUUAACUCGGGUGCUGCUUCUAAAACUGUCAGACUUGAGUGCAGGAGAGGUAAGUGGAAUUCCUAGUGUAGCGGUGAAAUGCGUAGAUAUUAGGAGGAACACCAGUGGCGAAGGCGGCCUGCUGGGCUUUAACUGACGCUGAGGCACGAAAGCAUGGGGAAGCAAACA